rnacentral:rRNA from 1 species
GGACAGAAAGACCCUAUGAAGCUUGACUGUAGCUUGAAAUUGGGUUCGGGCUCUUCUUGCGCAGCCUAGGUGGGAGGCUAUGAAGAUAAACUUUUGGGUUUAUUGGAGCCAUCAGUGAGAGACCACUCUGGAGGAGCUAGAAUUCUAAUGGCGUUCCUUGAAGCAGGACGCUUGACAGUUUCAGGUGGGCAGUUUGACUGGGGCGGUCACCUCCUAAAAGGUAACGGAGGUGUGCAAAGGUUCCCUCAGGCUGGACAGAAAUCAGCCGUAGAGUGUAAAGGCAGAAGGGAGCCUGACUGCAAGACCUACAAGUCGAGCAGGGGCGAAAGCCGGCCUUAGUGAUCCGACGGUUCCGUGUGGAAGGGCCGUCGCUAAACGGAUAAAAGUUACUCUAGGGAUAACAGGCUGA